rnacentral:rRNA from 1 species
GGCACCCUAAGGCGAGGCCGAAAGGCGUAGUCGAUGGGAAACAGGUUAAUAUUCCUGUACUUGGUGUUACUGCGAAGGGGGGACGGAGAAGGCUAUGUUAGCCGGGCGACGGUUGUCCCGGUUUAAGCAUGUAGGCUGGUUGUCCAGGCAAAUCCGGAUAAUCAAGGCUGAGGUGUGAUGACGAGGCACUACGGUGCUGAAGUAACAAAUGCC